GGUGAAUCGGCCUGGAAGCUGUUCAUUCUCUCCCAAGCCUGAAACAGCGGAUAAACGACCCCACCUCAUGCUGGGAAGGGAGAGCUUGGGAUCCCUGGCACGUGAGAAAGAGAGCCUGGCAUAGAUCAGAGCUCUCCAUCCAGAGUGUCAUGACUUAGCUGCGUGCUUUCACCAGCAGGGAGGAGGGAACUGAUACUGGAGAAAUAUACUUUCCUCCUCCAUCAUGGUGAUUCAUAACCUUCUAAAACCUUAUGAUUCUGAAAACCCACACAAACACAUUGGGACCUCUCCCAGCCCUUGACUCACUGUGAGUAUGGAUUUCAGUGGCCUUGCUACCCUUUUGGUGGGUUUUGUCCCUGGAGUUAAACAUUCAUGACUAUAUUCACCUUCUAGGUCGGCAUUCUCAAGAUGACCACAAUGAGCAGCAUUGAAGAGCCAGCGUUCAAAUGCUUCUCCCACAUGGGAGUCAGUAUUCUGCAGAGAUGGAUGAUUCUCAGAUUACCACUUAGCUUCCUGAAGCCAGCAACCUAUGUCAAAGCUGUUACUCCGGAAAAAAUGCCACUCUCCUCCCCACUCAGCUCCAAACACAGUGUGAUUGUAAUGAACACCUAUCCUGAUGAGGAAUGCAGGCUGCAUCUUGGAGAAAAUUCAAAUAGAGGUCCAUUUGAAAAUGGAAGAUAUGUAGUUACCAAGGAAACUCGCUGUGAGUCAACAAACUGGCUUAACUUCGAGCUUUGUGAGUUUGUUCCAUACAAAAUUAACUUGCUAUUCAUUUUUACCUACUCUCCUAAAAUGCUAGGAAUCAAAAUAAAAUUAUAAAUAUUAUUAGCCAUGCAAUUAAAAGAGUAGUUUAUUUUGUUAUUUCUUGUCAUUGAUUUUGAAGAAAAUAUGUAUUCUUUUUCAGCCUUUAUGGAUGCUCUCAGCCAUACACAUGCAUAUGCCUCCAUGGUUAUGCAAUGGAAAAGGAAGAAUGUCAGGAAAAAUGCAGAGGACAGAUUAGGUAGGUGAAUCUGCCAUGAGGGGUUAAGAGACCAUGUAAGGAGGGUCAAAGGUUCAUUUCUUUGAAAACACAUCACAGAAGCAAGAUCUGAAUGGAAAUCUUACCUUCAGAAGGAGGUGGGAGGAAAAUGAGAAAAGUCUGGGGAUGAAAAGAAGCACAGGGCUGCCUUUUUUUUUUUUAGACGGAGUCUCACUCUGUUGCCAGGCUGGGGUGCAGUGGUAUGAUCUCGGCUCACUGCAACCUCCGCCUCCCAGGUUCAAGCGAUUCUCCUGCCUCAGCCUCCUGAGUAGCUGGGACUGCAGGCACCCACCACCACGCCUGGCUAAUUUUUGUACUUUUAGUAGAGAUGGGGUUUCACCAUGUUGUCCAGGCUGGUCUCGAAGUCCUGACCUCAGGUGAUCCGUCUGCUCGACCUCCCAAAAUGCUGGGAUUACAGGCGUGAGCCACCACGCCCAGCCUAGGGCUGCCAUUUUUAAGUAAGAUGCGUUAUGGUCCAAAUACAAAUAGACAGAAGGAAGGUGGAAAAGAGGCCGGGUGAGGAGGCAGAGCAUGCCUUACCUCUUCAGAUCUGUGAACAUUUGGAGGUUUUAUUCCAAGAACAAUCAGAAGUACCUAAUGACUUCUGGCCAGGGAGAUUG
rnacentral:lncRNA from 1 species